GCUUUCCUGUGGCUCAGUAGGUAGAGUAUUGCAUUAACAACACAAAAGUUGUGGGUUCAAAUCCCAGGGAAAGCA
rnacentral:tRNA from 1 species